rnacentral:rRNA from 1 species
AGUAGGGAAUCUUCCGCAAUGGGCGCAAGCCUGACGGAGCAACGCCGCGUGAGUGAUGAAGGUUUUCGGAUCGUAAAGCUCUGUUGCCAGGGAAGAACGUCCGGUAGAGUAACUGCUGCCGGAGUGACGGUACCUGAGAAGAAAGCCCCGGCUAACUACGUGCCAGCAGCCGCGGUAAUACGUAGGGGGCAAGCGUUGUCCGGAAUUAUUGGGCGUAAAGCGCGCGCAGGCGGCUAUUUAAGUCUGGUGUUUAAACCUUGGGCUCAACCUGGGGUCGCACUGGAAACUGGGUGGCUUGAGUACAGAAGAGGAAAGUGGAAUUCCACGUGUAGCGGUGAAAUGCGUAGAGAUGUGGAGGAACACCAGUGGCGAAGGCGACUUUCUGGGCUGUAACUGACGCUGAGGCGCGAAAGCGUGGGGAGCAAACAGGAUUAGAUACCCUGGUAGUCCACGCCGUAAACGAUGAGUGCUAGGUGUUAGGGGUUUCGAUACCCUUGGUGCCGAAGUUAACACAGUAA